rnacentral:SRP_RNA from 1 species
CGGGAACCGGGGUGGACGGGCCACUCGCCAACCCGGUCAGGUCCGGAAGGAAGCAGCCGCAACGAAUCCGGUUCGGGUCGCCCCGGUUCCCACCC